CAAUAGCGUAUAUUAAAGUUGUUGCGGUUAAAAAGCUCGUAGUUGGAUUUCUGUUGAGGUCGGCCGGUCCCUACUUCGUAGGCGUAUCUGGUUCAGCCUUGGCAUCCUCCUAGGGAACGGCACUGCUCUUAACUGAGUGGUCCGGUAUCUAGGACUUUUACUUUGAGGAAAUUAGAGUGUUUACGGCAGGCAAUCGCCUUGAAUAUGUUAGCAUGGAAUAAUAAUAUAGGAUCUUGGUUCUAUUUUGUUGGUUUCUAGGACUAAGGUAAUGAUUAAUAGGGAUAUUUGGGGGCAUUCGUAUUAACCGGUCAGAGGUGGAAUUCUUGGAUUCGGUUACGACGAACUACUGCGAAAGCAUUUGCCAAGGAUGUUUUCAUUGA
rnacentral:rRNA from 1 species